GGCCUGAUGGUCUAGCGGUAUGAUUGGCGUUUCGGGAUUCCUCCCUCUUCUCCUAGAGAAAAUAUGCCAGGUCCCGGGUUCAAUCCCCGGUCAGGCCC